UGUUGGUUCACCCUCCAAUGGCCGCCACGGCCAGCGCAUCCGAAGCCAGGAGCCAGGUGCUUAUCCUGGUCUCCUAUGCGGAUGUAGGGCCCAAGUACUUGGGCCAUCUUCCCCUGUACUCCCGGGCCACAGCAGAGAGCUGGUCUGGAAGAGGGGCAACCGGGACAGAAUCUGGAGCCCCGACCAGGACUAGAACCUGGUGUGCCAGCACUGCAAGGCAGAGGAUUAGCCUAUUGAGCCACGGAGCCGGCCUAGAUCUGAGCUUUUAAAAUGACAAUUUAACGGUUGUAACAUAAAUACAUUCUCAAAGUAAUAAAUAAGAAAGAGUACUUGAUAUUUAAAUGCCGAACAAUGUUUAAAAUGGUUUGUUCAGAUUCUCAGUAAAAUAUGAAAUUUACUGAGUUUAUUUUCAUUUCUUUAAUUUUUGGAUCCAUCCUGAAUCAGAUGGAUUUAUGUUUGUUAGUAUGUUUAGUAGUAGCUUACUUGGAAAAUUCCUAAGUCCUGCUGAUUCUUUUUUUUUUUUUUAAUUUUUGUUUGAGAGGCUGAAAGAGACACAGACAGAGGGAGACAGAAAGGCAGAGUGAGAGAGACAGAGAGCAGAGUGAGAGAGACGGAGGGAGAUUUUCCAACCACUGAUUCACUCCCCAGAUGCCCUCAACGACCAGGGCUGGGCCAGGCUGAAGCUGUGAGCUGAGAGAGCUGAGAACUCAGUCCGGGUCUCCCACGUGGGUGGCAGGGACCCAACUUCCUGGACCAUCACUGCUGCCUCCCAGAGUGCGCAUUAGCAGGAGCCUGGAAUAGAAGCAGGGCCGGGACUCAAGCCCGGCGUUCUGAUAGAGCACGCAGCCAUCCAAAGUGCAUCUUAACUGCUAUGCCAUUCUUCCACUCCCCUGCUAACUGUUAGCCCAUUGAGGACUAACCAGUUUUCUGCCUUAAAAUAUACAUUUGAUUUUUUAAAUAUUUGUUUUAUUUAUCUGCAAGACAGUGUCAUGGAGAGAGGUAGAGGCAGAGAGAAAGAGAGGUCUUCCAUCCACUGGUUCGUUCCUCAAAUGACCGCAAUGGCUGGAGUUGAGGCAAUCCAAAGCCAGGAGCCAGGAUGUGAACCAUCUUCUACUGCUUUCCAAGGCCAUAGCAGAGAGCUGGAUUGGAAGCAGAGCAGCCAGGACUCGAACUGGCGUCCAUAUGGGAUGCCGGCACUGCGGGCAGCGACUUCACCCACUAUGCCCCAGCGCCAGCCCCAUAGAUUUGAUUUUUAAGACAAUCCCACAUUCCUUCUCUAAAUGCUGAUGCAACCUGAAUUUGUGAAGUCCUGGAUAUUCCUGGAUUAAAUGAAAUAUUUAAAUUCUAUGAAAUCAGAGAAGUUUUUUAAAAACAAUUGUAUUGUUGAAUCAUUUUGUAUAAUAUGAUUUCUACUAAGAAAAGCAUUUCUAUGGGAGGAAAAAAAAGUCCUUACUGCUUAGUUUAUUUCAUGCAAAAUCAACCCAUUCUCCCUACAUUGUGAAGACCUGUAAAAUCAUUAAUAGCCAUGGCUAAUGUUUGCUAACAGUCACAUGUCUUACUAAUACAAAAGUUUUAAUUACUCGAGGAAGCCAAGGAUGAUUUAUAUAAGAAACAGAUAUUUGAACAAUCAUUUGAAACAAUAUUUUCCAAAAUAGAAUAAAAGAACUAAUAAAGCUUGAAAUUCUGACGUUGCUAAAAUAUCCCCCCAAAACAUAGUUUCUAUAUGUAAAAUACAACCGCUCUAGAGAAAUGAGGAAGACGGAACUACCUGGGGAAAGUUUUGUAUAGGUUACACAUUUGAAAUUAAUAAGAGGGGCCGGCAAUGCGGCGUAGCAGGUAAAGCCACCGCCUGCAGUGCCAGCAUCCCACAUGGGCGCUGGUUCGGGACCUGGCUGCUCUACUUCCGAUCCAGCUCUCUGCUGUGGCCUGGGAAAGCAGUAGAAGAUGGCCCAAGUCCUUGGGCCUCUGCACCCGCCUGGGACAUCUGGAGGAAGCUCCUGGCUCCUGGCUUUGGAUUGGUGCAGCUCCAGCCAUUGCUGCCAUCUGGGGAGUGAACCUGAACCAGUAGUUGGAAGACUUCUCUCUCUCUCUCUCUCUCUCUCUGCCUCUGCCUCUCCUUCUUUCUCUGUGUAACUCUGCCUUUCAAAUAAAUAAGUAAAUCUUGAAAAAUUUAAUAAGAAACAUUUUAAAGGGUCUGAAAAAAGUAUUCCUCUAAUAGAUCUGACUAGAAAUAUCUUUUUACUAUGACUAUUAUAUGACUCUUCAACACUUUUAACAAGUGAGUGAGGAAGCAAUUAGAAGUAAUUUUCACAAUGAAAUAUAUUACUAUAAAUCAACAUAAAAUUUUACUUUAUAUUUUAUACCAAUAUAGAGUUACCAAUAACCAAUAGGUUUUUUUGCUUCAACCAGAAGAUCCACACAUUUCAAGCAAAGCACGUUUGUGAUAAAUUAAUACUAAUAUAUUCUGACUGAUAUUUAUAUUUGACAAGUUAUUCCUAGUCUUCAAAAGAAAUAUAUUAAAGUUCUUAAGUUCAAAAGGCACUUAGAGAAAAUGGCCUAGGAAAAAUUAUAAAAUGGGCAAAGUAAAUGAUCAAUCAUCCCACAGAAGAUUAAAGACAGAAGCAAAUGUGUUCAGUCUCAUUAGUAGGCAUAUAUUAGCACAUUCUAUAAAAAUAUUCUCAUCAGCAAAAUUUAAAUAUUGAUAACAUCCAAGCUUGCAAGGGCAUGGAUUAUAUUGGCAAGCUAUGAAAAGAUAGGAUCUUGGGGCUAGCAUUAUGGAGCAGUGGGUUAAGCGGCAUCCCAUAUGACUUCCGGUUUUCGUCCCAGCUGCUCUACUUCCAAUUCAGCUUCCUGCCAAUGGCCUGAGAAAAGCAGUGAAGAUGCCCUGAGUGUUUGGGCCCCCUGCUACCCAUGUGGGAACCCGUAUGAAGCUAUUGGCUCCUCGCUCCAGCCUGGCCCAGUGUUUGCUGUUGCAACCAUCGUGGUGUGUGAACCAAUGGACUGAAGAUCUUUCUGUUUCUCCCUCUUGCUUUAUAACUCUGACUUUCAAGAUAAAUAAAUAAAUCUUAAAUAAAAAGAUAGGAUAUCUUGGAAAAGUCAUGUGUAGCGUGUAAUUAAAUGUUUAAAUGCUCAUUCUUUAAUUUUAAAAAAAUUUAACAAUUUUAUUUAUUUGAAAGGCAAAGUGACAGAGACAGACCAAGAGAUCUCCCAUCUGCUGGUUCACUCCCCAGGUACAAAAGCCAGGGCUGGGCCAGGCUGAAGCCAGGAGCCAGGAACUCAAUCUGGGUCUCCCAUAUGGGUGUCAGGGAACCGAGUCCUGCAGCCAUCACCUGCUGCCUCUCAAGGAACUCGUUAGCAGGAAGCUGGAAUUGGGAGCAAACCCAGGACUGCAACCAGGCACUCUAACAUGGGAUGCUGGUGUCCCAACCCACAUCUAAACCACUGCACUGAACGCCUGGUCUUGAAUACCCACUCUUAUCCCACAGCAGUCCUACUUUUAACAAAUAUAUUGGUCCUCUCUGAAGGAAGCUUAUUCUUCCCAGAGAAUGCCCUAAGGAUUUCCUUGAAAAAUAAAUUUCCAAGGUAAAUGAGCAACUCACAGCUGAAAAAUCAUUCAAAAUAAAAAAGAAAUAAAUUAUUAUGAUAACAGAUAGGAAUAGCGAUACCCCCAAAAAACUCAAAAAAUUUCAGAUAUUAUGAAACACGUAUUAUAAAAUAAUGUUUGGCAUGUUUAAAUAAAAGGUUUUAAAGUUUGCAUACAAUAUGACAAACUAUAUAGAAUGAUCAAUCAGAUUCAACUAGGAACCAGAUGGAGCAUGAGAAAUUAAGAUAUAAUAAGUAAAAUGAACAAAAAACUCCCAUGAUGGGGUUAACAGUGGAUGGGACCAAGUUGAUGAGAGAAUUAAUGAUCUCAAAGACAAACAGGCCUGAAAAAAUUAUCCCAAAUGUGCACAGAUGCAAAAUAUAGGACAAGAAGAUUAUGAAAAAUAGCAGCUAGAGUGGAAACGUGUCUAUGAAAAGAUCGAGAAGGAGAAGACAGACAAAACAGGACAGAAGUACUAAGAAUAAAACAGUUGUGAGUGUUCUAGAACUGAUAAAAACAACCUUCCAGAUUCAAGAGCACAGUGAAAAUCCAGCAGGAUCCAUACACAGAAAAUCAACAAGCAGAUAAAUCACAGUGACACUGGAGAGCAUCGAAGACGAGGAAGACCCUGCAAGGAGAAAUAUUACCUUCCAAGGAGCUCAACAAAAGCUCAUGUCUUGACAGCAGCAAAGAGAGCCAGGAGACAGAAUGACACACUCAAUGUGCAUAGGAAAAAAUCUUCUCAACCUGAAGCUUUCUACUCAGAAAAAGUAUCUUUUCUGCACAAAGCCAAAAUGAUGACAUACUCAAGCCAUCGAAAAGCGAGGAGAGUUCACCAUGAGCAGACUUUGCCAAAGGAAAAUCUAAAGAGUAUGCUAGAGAUAGAUGGAAGAUGAUCUCAUAUUCAAAGGCUGAGAUACAAACAGGAGUGGAGACAGACCUCCACUGGUAGCCAAGAACAGGAUUUAGAUUCGUGCUCCAGUCUGAAACACCACCACCAUCACCACCACCAAAGAACAGAGUGGCAAGCAUCAAGAGUUACAAAAGCAGACGAUACUGUGUUCAUUCUCCUGAUGAUAGCGAUUAGUCCGUAUAUGUCAAGACUCAUCAAAUUGCACAACCCAAGUAUUUGCUGCUUAUGGUACAUCAGUCAUCCCUCAAUAAUUAUAUUUUAAGAGAAACUGGAAAAUAAAUGGAUGAAUAUAAAUAACACAAAAGUAAUAUUAGUGUUUUAAGGGGUUAAAAAAGGAAUCUAUAGGCAGAAUCAUACUGGCAUUUUAUCCCAAAGGGGGAUCCAAGUUUUAUAGGGAUGAGGAUAAUGUUCAGGAGGCAUAGGUUAAGGUAUUGAUUAAUUUGAGACUUUGAUAAGUUAAUAAUGCAUGCUUUGAAGGGGGAGUAAACACUAAAAAAAAUCAGAGUACAUAACUUCCGAACGGUAGAGGACAGUAUAGAAUUAGAAGGAAACACUCAAUCCAAGCAGGAAGCAACAGAGGAGAGAAAAAGAGUCAUAGAAAAGAUGGGUGAAGGGUGGAUGUUGGGGUACAGUAGGCUUAGCUGCCACCAGGGACACCUGCCUCCCACAUUGAGCACCAGUUUGAAUCCAGGCUGCUCAGUUUCAGAGCCAGCUUCUUGCUAAUGCACUCUGGGAGGCAGCGGGUGAUGGCUCAAGUGUUGGAGCCCCUGCCACCUAUGGAGAUUCAGGUAAGAGUUCUGGGCUCCUGGCUUUUGGCCUGGCCCAGCCCUGGCAGUAGUGGGCACCGGGGGAGUCAAACCAUGGAUGGAAGAUAUCUCUGUCUCAGUCUUUUUAAUAAAUAAGUGGUUUUUUUUAAAGAACAUAUAGGACAAAUAGCACAAAAUAAGAUGACAUAUAAGGCAAAUGAAUCAAAUACCUUUUUUAAACACAAAAUACUCAGGCUGUUUAAAAACUCAGCUACAUUGUGUUCCAAUCCACAUAGCUAUAAACUCCCAGAACAGCUUAAAGUAAAAAAAAAAAAAAAAUGGAGAUAUUUUAUGACAAUAGGAGUAAAUACCAAGGAAAUGUAACCAAUUUAAACUUCUAUGCACCUAUUAAGGUAGCUUCAAAAUACAAAAAGCAAAAGCGCUCCACAUGAUUAAUUUUGGCCACCGACAGAUAAGUGGAACUGUCGUGUGGCAUUUCCUUAAAUAAAGCCAUUUUGUGAACCUUGCUCUCUUUCUUCUUAUUUUUCUUCUUUCAGUUGGCUGACACAUGGUCUUGAUGGCUGCAGAGGGAGCAGAUCCAGGACCUGGGGCCAUGUGCAGUGGAAUAGCCUGGGUCCCUCAGGGUUUGGCAGAGUGGAGACUUCCGGCAGCCCCCAACUCUUCUCUCCAGGCUGUUGUGAACAAUCCAUUUCUGUCUACGGAAGCCACUGUUUUGGGAGUCUGUUUCUCACAGCAGAUCCCAGUCUUAGCUGAUAUAGAAUGAAAUGUAUAGAAACCAAGGAAGUAGACACUUUGGCAAAGGAGGCAAAAAAUCAUCAUGGCCUUCCUAAUCCCCAAGUGUGUCUGAAAUGUUAUUGUAACACUUAGGAAGUCAACAGCACAGAAGAGAAAGUAGUUUCCUCAAAUGACAACUGGCAAUAUAUUGCAUAUGGUUUAUUAAUCUAUGCUUCUGCCUCUUACUUGCAGGUAAUCUGCCAGUUAGGAAGGAAAUAGAAGAUUAGAAGAUUAGUUUGGUUCAUUUAGACUUCCUUCCUUCCCCCCACCCCUUUUUUUUCCUACUUCAAGCACUUAAUAUCCAGGGAAAUUGCCAAAUGGCCCAUUUGUGCUUAAUAUCCUCUAUAGAAAAUUUAAUUGAUUAAAAGGGGUAUCCCCCAAAGAAUAUACACAUUCUCGUUUCUGUUCUAUAAUAUCUGAUUACGAGGUGUUUGUGUUCCUUAGAAACUAGUUUUGUUCCUACUGCUGCUGCUGCUGUUUUUCAACCCAGUGACAAGACCCAGAGAAGAGUUACUCAAGCACAAACUCUUGCCAGGUACUAUGGAGAUGAGGAAGCCGACCACAGAGAGAGUCAAAGGAGGAUUUCAAUGUGGAAAACUCAAAGUCAGUGACCUCAGUGAACGGUUAGGAUGCCAACUCUGAAAGCCAGUAGCCUAUGGCACAAUUUUUGAUCCAUGCAAAUCCAAGUUGCCAAGACUUUGAAGGGAUAGAAGACAGGGAUAGAAGAUCUCUGUCAAUGAACCAAACAAGUGAUCUCCAAAUGGGUAUGCAUCAAGUCUUCUCCAAGAUUUUGUGAGUGUAGGCAGAUCAUAGGAAAUCAAUUUCUAAUGUCCAGAUUCCUCCAACAACUUUCCUAUCUAAGAAUGUUCCUAUGCGCAAGGCGUCAUCCCAGUUUUCUUGUCCUACUGACUCUUGCACAAUCGUCCUCCAACUUUAUGAGACUUUGAGCUAUGUUCCAGUCCAUGAAAUAAACAAGUCAUCUCACCAUAAGCCCUAGCAUUUCUUUUCUUACAGAUAAAUCACAUUGAGUGAUAAAACUAAUUUUCACUGCAAAUAGCUCACCUAUCAUUUUAUGAUUUGAAAAGGGUAACGCUUUUGGCUUUUAUCUCUUUGAUGAUAUUACAGAGUCAAAGUGCAAAAACACCACUAGUCACCCAAAGAAUGCUUCUCUUCUCAAAAUAAGAAAUAUCCUGUCCUGCCAUGGUCUCAUUUGGUAUGGACACAUGAUUUACUAAGCAUCUGGAAGCCAUUCUUUUAAGACGUCUUCAGUGUUUCCUUUGGUGUUAUUGGGAGACAUCACCCGGAUAUUAUUAAUCCUCAGUUUGUUUUUCCAAAAUAUCAAGUCUCACAUUAAAUCCUUUAUUCUCCAUGAGGAUUUCUGGGGUAAUCACUUCUUGGCUAGACUACACACUUUCUAUAUCAAAUAGCUUUCUCUACAUUCCAGUGCAUUUUGCUCUAAGUUUCUACUUUCUAAAGAUUCAGAACAAGUGCUACUUGACAUAAAAUGGGUUUAAACACGCUUCACAGCAUUCUGCAGUUUCUUCUUAUUUAGAUAAAACAAAGAGCUUAGAAUUAAACAGUAAGACUCUAAAUACAACAAUUUAUGAAAAAAUUUAAAAUAGCACAAAAAAAGAAGCCAAUUGGAAACACUUAAUCAUUCAUUUUGCAGAUCAUCCUGGAUAUUCUUGCUAGAGAUGGAACAUGAUUAUGUAAUGAGAAUGAUGACCUACCCAAGGACACAGGUGAUGAAUGUUGAAUACUAUGAUGAAGGGUGCUUUAUCAGAUCGCAAUAUUUGUUCCAAUAAUUUCUUUACUCUUUUAUGGUGCUGUCACAUAUUUAUUUAUAUCUUUGUCAAGGCUUCGUGAUGGACAAAUAAGAACCUCCAUCCUGACUUUGAACUUAGCCAUAGGACUGUUUCGGUUAGUGGGUACAAUACAAUCAGAAACUUGCGAGUAUCCGUGGAAGGGAUCCCCUGUAAUCAGGACAUGCCGCAGGGAACCCUUGCUCGUGAACCUGGGUUCCAGAAUGUGACAGAUGCAGCAGACUCACAGCCUGGAACCAAGACCAGAAGACACAGCUUAAAGCAGAGCCACUCAGUCAGGACCAGCCUAGCCCAGCCAAACAGCAACUGAGUCUCCUGAAUAUUUUUAUUGACUUCUCAUUCUGGAAGAAGAGAGUAUAAUUCUGUUAUUCCCUACUCUACACAAAUACUCUCCCUACUCCACCACCACCCGAAUAUCUGAUGGGAAGGACUCUGAAACAGAACCAUCUACAGAUCCUCGCACUUAGGCUGGGUCUUCUUCCUGAAGGUGUAAGCCGGGUUGCCGGGGGAGAAAGGUAACCAGGAGACAGGGCUGUUGCCUCUCAGCCUUCAGUGUGUUCGCGCUGUCAGUACAGUGUUCUCAGCUGUGCCUGGUGUUCGAGUUAGCAAGCUUUCUUUUGGGGAAGAAGACAUGGGGUCCGGUUACUCCUUAAAUGAGACCUUCAAGCUGUCUUCCUGCUUCUAGCCCACCUGUACCCCGGCCUUCAGAGACGCCUCCAAGGUCUGAGUCUUCUCAGGCUCUGUGAUUUGCAAAUGCUUUAUUUUUGUUGGCUUUGACGGCUUCGAGCUAUCCAGUUUCAGCAUUCUCCUCUCUGCUAAGCCAGUUCAACUCUUGUGUUUCUGUUCCCCACACUUUGUUGUUUUGGCCCGUCUCGGUCUCUCACAUUGUCUUUCCCACUGUCAGUUUAGUAGGUUUUUGGAGUUUGUACAAUGUCCACACUCAACUGGAUUGUGGUGAUGCAGCAUGUGGGUUUAAAACACAGUGAAUUCCAUAUUGUCUUCAUCAUUUCAAACUGUGAAUACAAUUUAUUUUUCUAGGAUUUCUUUCAUGUAAUGUGUGAAGCUCAUGGCAUGCUUCUGUGUCGCACCAAAAAUUUAAUUCCAAGAUUCUAAUGUUGAUUAUUUUCUUGCAAAAGCUUUCCAACCAAAAGGCCAACUAACUGUAUUACAUGUAAAUAACAAGCAAGGAAAAAACAUCUUUUCUCUGUGAAGUGCUUUAAUUCAAAAUGUUUAAGAAUUUCACAAUUUUAGAAUCAAAAGUUGGAUACAUAAAACAAUCCACUGUACACUGAUAUCUAAUACAUGACCUAAUUUUAAUUAUGUAUAUAUAAAUGUACUUACAUUUC